AUUCGACUGACGAGUCCCAAAUAGGACGAAACACGCGUCCUGGAU
rnacentral:hammerhead_ribozyme from 1 species